rnacentral:rRNA from 1 species
UACAGAGGGUGCGAGCGUUGUUCGGAAUUAUUGGGCGUAAAGGGCGCGUAGGCGGUGCGGUAAGUCACCUGUGAAAUCUCCUGGCUCAACUGGGAGCCUGCAGGCGAAACUGCCGUGCUGGAGUGUGGGAGAGGUGAGUGGAAUUCCCAGUGUAGCGGUGAAAUGCGUAGAUAUUGGGAGGAACACCAGUGGCGAAGGCGGCUCACUGGACCGGAACUGACGCUGAUGCGCGAAAGCGUGGGGAGCAAACGGG